GAUGAACGCUAGCGGCAGGCUUAACACAUGCAAGUCGAGGGGCAUCACGGGUAGCAAUACCUGGUGGCGACCGGCGCAAAGGGUGCGUAACGCGUGAGCAACAUGCCCUAUACAGGGGGAUAAUCCAGGGAAACUUGGUCUAAUAUCCCAUAGCAUUUAGAGGUGGCAUCACCAUUAAAUUAAAGCUUCGGUGGUAUAGGAUUGGCUCGCGUGACAUUAGCUAGAUGGUGGGGUAACGGCUCACCAUGGCUAUGAUGUCUAGGGGUUCUGAGAGGAAGACCCCCCACACUGGGACUGAGACACGGCCCAGACUCCUACGGGAGGCAGCAGUGAGGAAUAUUGGACAAUGGAUGGAAAUCUGAUCCAGCCAUGCCGCGUGCAGGAAGACGGCCCUAUGGGUUGUAAACUGACUUUUAUAUGGGAGCAUAAGGUCUACGAGUAGACCGAUGAGAGUACCAUAUGAAUAAGCAUCGG
rnacentral:rRNA from 1 species